rnacentral:rRNA from 1 species
GAGGAAUAAGCAUCGGCUAACUCCGUGCCAGCAGCCGCGGUAAUACGGGGGAUGCAAGCGUUAUCCGGAAUCAUUGGGCGUAAAGCGCCUGUAGGUUGUUUAAUAAGUCUGUUGUUAAAGACUAGGGCUUAACCCUAGAAAAGCAAUGGAAACUACUAGACUAGAGUAUGGCAGGGGUAGAGGGAAUUUCUAGUGUAGCGGUGAAAUGCGUAGAUAUUAGAAAGAACACCGGUGGCGAAAGCGCUCUACUGGACCAUUACUGACACUCAGAGACGAAAGCUAGGGUAGCAAAAGGGAUUAGAUACCCCUGUAGUCCUAGCCGUAAACGAUGGAUACUAGAUGUUGUGCAUAAUGUACAGUAUCGUAGCUAACGCGUUAAGUAUCCCGCCUGGGGAGUACGCUCGCAAGGGUGAAACUCAAAGGAAUUGACGGGGGCCCGCACAAGCGGUGGAGCAUGUGGUUUAAUUCGAUGCAACGCGAAGAACCUUACCAGGGCUUGACAUACUACAGAUUCUUUUGAGAAAAAGAAGUGCCUUCGGGAAUGUAGAUACAGGUGGUGCAUGGCUGUCGUCAGCUCGUGUCGUGAGAUGUUGGGUUAAGUCCCGCAACGAGCGCAACCCUUAUUUUUAGUUACUAAUUCGUUAGGUUCUCUAGAAAGACUGCCGGUGACAAACCGGAGGAAGGUGAGGAUGACGUCAAGUCAGCAUGCCCCUUAUGUCCUGGGCUACACACGUGCUACAAUGGUUAAGACAAAGAGUCGCGAGCUCGCGAGAGUCAGCUAAUCUCAUAAACUUAGCCUAAGUUCAGAUUGUAGGCUGCAACUCGCCUACAUGAAG